rnacentral:rRNA from 1 species
AUUGAACGCUGGCGGCAUGCUUUACACAUGCAAGUCGAACGGCAGCGCGGAGAAGCUUGCUUCCCCGUCGGCGAGUGGCGAACGGGUGAGUAUAGCAUCGGAACGUGCCAAGUAGUGGGGGAUAACCAAACGAAAGUUUGGCUAAUACCGCGUACGCUCGAAGGAGGAAAGUAGGGGACCUAAAUAAGCCCUUACUCCAUUUGAUCGUCCGAUUUCGGAUUAGCUAGUUGGUGGGGUAAUGGCUCACCAAGGCAAUGAUCCGUAGCGGGUCUGAGAGGACGAUCCGCCACACUGGAACUGAGACACGGCCCAGACUCCUACGGGAGGCAGCAGUGGGGAAUUUUGGACAAUGGGGGAAACCCUGAUCCAGCCAUGCCGCGUGUAUGAAGAAGGCCUUAGGGUUGUAAAGUACUUUUGUUAGGGAAGAAAAGCUAGUGUUUAAUAAAAAUUAGUGAUGACGGUACCUAAAGAAUAAGCACCGGCUAACUACGUG